UGGGCGAAAGCCUGAUCCAGCAACGCCGCGUGAGGGAUGACGGCCUUCGGGUUGUAAACCUCUUUCAGCAGGGACGAAGCGCAAGUGACGGUACCUGCAGAAGAAGCACCGGCCAACUACGUGCCAGCAGCCGCGGUAAUACGUAGGGUGCGAGCGUUGUCCGGAAUUAUUGGGCGUAAAGGGCUCGUAGGCGGUUUGUCACGUCGGGAGUGAAAACUCGGGGCUUAACCCCGAGCCUGCUUCCGAUACGGGCUGACUAGAGGUAUGCAGGGGAGAACGGAAUUCCUGGUGUAGCGGUGAAAUGCGCAGAUAUCAGGAGGAACACCGGUGGCGAAGGCGGUUCUCUGGGCAUUACCUGACGCUGAGGAGCGAAAGUGUGGGGAGCGAACAGGAUUAGAUACCCUGGUAGUCCACACCGUAAACGUUGGGCGCUAGGUGUGGGGCUCAUUCCACGAGUUCCGUGCCGCAGCUAACGCAUUAAGCGCCCCGCCUGGGGAGUACGGCCGCAAGGCUA
rnacentral:rRNA from 1 species